rnacentral:tRNA from 1 species
UACAUUUUAGUAUAAGAGGUACUGAAAUUUUUGAUAUUUCAAGAGGAGGUUUAAUUCCCCCAAAUGUAA